rnacentral:rRNA from 1 species
UGAGGAAUAUUGGUCAAUGGGCGAGAGCCUGAACCAGCCAAGUAGCGUGCAGGAUGACGGCCCUAUGGGUUGUAAACUGCUUUUAUAUGGGAAUAAAGUGAGGGACGUGUCCCUUAUUGCAUGUACCAUAUGAAUAAGGACCUGCUAAUUCCGUGCCAGCAGCCGCGGUAAUACGGAAGGUCCAGGCGUUAUCCGGAUUUAUUGGGUUUAAAGGGAGCGUAGGCUGUUUGUUAAGCGUGUUGUGAAAUGUAAGAGCUCAACUUUUAGAUUGCAGCGCGAACUGGCAGACUUGAGUGCGCACAACGUAGGCGGAAUUCAUGGUGUAGCGGUGAAAUGCUUAGAUAUCAUGACGAACUCCGAUUGCGAAGGCAGCUUACGGGAGCGCAACUGACGCUAAAGCUCGAAGGUGCGGGUAUCGAACAGG